rnacentral:rRNA from 1 species
ACGAACGCUGGCGGCGUGCUUAACACAUGCCAGUCGAACGGAAAGGCCCUGCUUUUGUGGGUGCUCGAGUGGCGAACGGGUGAGUAACACGUGAGUAACCUGCCCUUGACUUUGGGAUAACUUCAGGAAACUGGGGCUAAUACCGGAUAGGAGCUCCUGCUGCAUGGUGGGGGUUGGAAAGUUUCGGCGGUUGGGGAUGGACUCGCGGCUUAUCAGCUUGUUGGUGGGGUAGUGGCUUACCAAGGCUUUGACGGGUAGCCGGCCCGAGAGGGUGACCGGCCACAUUGGGACUGAGAUACGGCCCAGACUCCUACGGGAGGCAGCAGUGGGGAAUAUUGCACAAUGGGCGGAAGCCUGAUGCAGCAACGCCGCGUGCGGGAUGACGGCCUUCGGGUUGUAAACCGCUUUCGCCUGUGACGAAGCGUGAGUGACGGUAAUGGGUAAAGAAGCACCGGCUAACUACGUG